GUGUUAUUAUAUCACCUGUUUAUUCUUUAUAGAUGUCUCCUUUCCAUCAAGUCAGGAAGUCCAUGUGUUAUUAUAAUCACCUGUUUAUUCUUUAUAGAUGUCUCCUUUCCAUCAAGUCAGGAAGUCCAUGUGUUAUUAUAAUCAUCUUUUGAUUCUUUGGCCGGGAUGCAAUCCGAUUGCAAGUUGUAGCGAGUUUGUUAAUUAAAGGUAAUUUCCAAUUGAGCCAACAUCUACGGCGUUUAACAUGACUGUGAUCUCAAUCUGCCUCUAACCAGCCUGAGGAGGUCUAUAUCUCCAUUCGGUUGAAUGUGAUAGUCUAUAACUAGCCUGAGGAGGUCUAUAACUCCAUUAGGUUGAAUGUGAUAGUCUAUAACCAGCCUGAGGAGGUCUAUAACUCCAUUAGGUUGAAUGUGACAGUCUGUCUAUAACCA
rnacentral:lncRNA from 1 species